CGUCAUUGACUACACAAUUUCAAUUCUUAAGGAGCAAAUCUCAUCAGAGUCAGAGAGCCAAUAAGCACGCAGAAUACUUCUACGAAGAUCUAAUAAUGUUUGUGAUUGGCUGUUUGACGUUACACAUCAUGGAGG